GGCGGACGGGUGAGUAACGCGUAAAGAACUUGCCCUUUAGACUGGGAUAACAGAGGGAAACUUCUGAUAAUACUGGAUAAGUUAGUAUAUCGCAUGAUAUACAAAUGAAAGCUACGGCACUAAAGGAGAGCUUUGCGUCCUAUUAGCUAGUUGGUAAGGUAAGAGCUUACCAAGGCGAUGAUAGGUAGCCGGCCUGAGAGGGUGGACGGCCACAAGGGGACUGAGAUACGGCCCUUACUCCUACGGGAGGCAGCAGGC
rnacentral:rRNA from 1 species